rnacentral:rRNA from 1 species
UACGUAGGGGGCAAGCGUUGUUCGGAAUGACUGGGCGUAAAGGGUGCGUAGGCGGUGUAGCAAGUUAGAAGUGAAAUACCUAGAGCUUAACUCAGGUGCUGCUUCUAAAACUGCUAUACUUGAGCGCAGUAGAGGAAAGUGGAAUUCCUAGUGUAGCGGUGGAAUGCGUAGAUAUUAGGAGGAACAUCAGUGGCGAAGGCGACUUUCUGGACUGUAACUGACGCUGAGGCACGAAAGUGUGGGGAGCAAACAGG